CUCUGUGACUCCUACGGGAGGCAGCAGUGGGGAAUAUUGCACAAUGGGCGCAAGCCUGAUGCAGCCAUGCCGCGUGUGUGAAGAAGGCCUUCGGGUUGUAAAGCACUUUCAGUUGUGAGGAAGGUGGUGUCGUUAAUAGCGGCAUCAUUUGACGUUAGCAACAGAAGAAGCACCGGCUAACUCCGUGCCAGCAGCCGCGGUAAUACGGAGGGUGCGAGCGUUAAUCGGAAUUACUGGGCGUAAAGCGCAUGCAGGUGGUUUGUUAAGUCAGAUGUGAAAGCCCCGGGGCUCAACCUCGGAACUGCAUUUGAAACUGGCAGACUAGAGUACUGUAGAGGGGGUAGAAUUUCAGGUGUAGCGGUGAAAUGCGUAGAGAUCUGAAGGAUACCGGUGGCGAAGGCGGCCCCCUGGACAGAUACUGACACUCAGAUGCGAAAGCGUGGGGAGCAAACAGGAUUAGAUACCCUGGUAG
rnacentral:rRNA from 1 species